rnacentral:rRNA from 1 species
CAGCAGCCGCGGUAAUACGGAGGGUGCAAGCGUUAAUCGGAAUUACUGGGCGUAAAGCGCACGCAGGCGGUUUGUUAAGUCAGAUGUGAAAUCCCCGAGCUUAACUUGGGAACUGCAUUUGAAACUGGCAAGCUAGAGUCUUGUAGAGGGGGGUAGAAUUCCAGGUGUAGCGGUGAAAUGCGUAGAGGUCUGGAGGAAUACCGGUGGCGAAGGCGGCCCCCUGGACAAAGACUGACGCUCAGGUGCGAAAGCGUGGGGAGCAAACAGGAUUAGAUACCCCGGUAGUCCCUGUCUCUUAUAC